rnacentral:rRNA from 1 species
UACGUAGGGGCCUAGCGUUGUCCGGAAUUAUUGGGCGUAAAGAGCUCGUAGGCGGUUCGGCAAGUCGGAUGUGAAAUCUCCACGCUUAACGUGGAGGGGCCAUUCGAAACUGCUGUGACUCGAGUCCGGUAGGGGAGUGUGGAAUUCCCGGUGUAGCGGUGAAAUGCGCAGAUAUCGGGAGGAACACCGGUGGCGAAGGCGGGUCUCUGGGCAGUAACUGACACUGAGGAGCGAAAGCGUGGGGAGCGAACAGG